CCAGGAGGUACAAGCCCCACCAUUUUUGGUCUAUUGUUUCUGAAGAGGAAUUUGCCGCAAGAUCAAAACGGCCGCGAGAGUGAGGGUAAAGAAGAAGAACAAAUGCUGCAAACAUUGGAAAGGGGCAAAAAGGAC